UGUUUUAGUCUAGUUAGAGGAACCUGUUUUAUAAACGAUACAACACGCAUUAUUUUACUUAUUUUUGUAAAUCAGCUUGUAUACCGUCAUUAUAAGAUAAUUUAGGAGAAAAUAUUAUUGGGAUCAUAUUAUUGAGUAUAUUAGAUCAAGGUGCAGCUUAUAGAUAAGUAAAUAUGGGUUACAAUAAAAUUUAUUUAUUAUGAAUUAAGUAUUUAAAUAUAUUUAUGAAGGAGGAUUUAAUUGUAAGAGGGGGAGUAGUAAGAUUUUCUGAUAUAAGCUCUAAAUUAU
rnacentral:rRNA from 1 species